UGAUAAAAGAAAAUAAUAAGUUACUCUCUAUAGAGAGCCUUUAGCCAGGCCCAAGCAAUCUCCAACCUCACUCCUUUCAAGUUUCAAAGCCAUUACCAAGGCUUGGGUGCGGCAAAGUUCCCUAAGGGUUCGUUUGAACCCCUGGCCAAUACCAAGCACCCACAAUGUCCCAAUUAGACAAUUGCAAGCAUGGAAGUGCCAGCCUUGUGCAUCAGAGUUCCAUAGGUGCUCAAGGCACCCAAGGCAGUGCUUACACUAAGGGAACAAACCCUAAAGCUCUAAGAAUGAGAUUGUGUUUGGAAUUGAGAGAGUUGAAAAUAUUUGAGGGACAGUCUAAGAAAACAGUUGAAAGAGUUGAGAGAGUUAAGAAGAGAGUUGAAAAGUUGAAAAAAUAGUUGAAAAAGUUGAGAUAGUUCUUCUGAAAUCCUUUGGACUGACCAGUUUUAGAAUAGCAGGGCAUCACACAAACAGGGGGGCAAAGGGAAAAGGGAAAAAAUAAGUAAAAUAGUUGAAAAAGUUGAGACAGUUCUUCUGAAAUCAUUUGGACUGACCAAUUUUAGAACAUCAGGGCAUCACACAAACAGGGGGAAAAGGGAAAAGGGGACAAAUAAGUAAAGUGAACUACUCACACACAGACAACAUAUUGGAAGAAAAAUAAUCAGGCACGGUUGCACACAAGAGUUCAGCUCUUACUACACCAAACUCUAACACACUUAGCCUCAAACAUGGGUUUUAUGUUAACCAAGUAGCCAAGCAGACAUGGAUGCAUGGUAUAGCACACAAGGAAAAAGUAAACAUUCAUUAAGACAGGGGGAGGGGGUAAGAGAUCAAAUAAGUAAAGAGCAAACAAGUAAAGUGUACAGACAACAUGUCGGGGGAAAGUAAUCAAGCAUGGUUGUAAAACAAGGGUUUAGUUCUUACUGCACCAAAACCCCAAGUAUAAUCAACCUCAGGGAGAAGUUUCAGGGCUGCCAAGUAGCCAAACAGUAGUGCACAUGGAAGAGGAAAACGUACAUUGAGACAAGCAAAGGGGGAUAGGGGAAAAUAUGCUAAGUUAAACUAGUAGACUAACAACUGCAUGCUAGUGGCAAUAAGAGCAACUGAACCAUGGGUAAAAGCACACAAGAAACAUUAGAAGAACACAACACGCUAGCAACAAGAGUCAAAGUAAAGAGCACGAAACUCAAAGAAGAACCCAGAAGAACAUGCAAACAGGCAAAUUCAGAUACAAACAUGUAGGGUUAGGGUUCUCGUCAAAUUUAAACAAAAACUUUAGAAGUAUAAUGCAAUAGUCCACAAAGGGAUAACAAAGUGUGGAAAGAAUGAGAGCAGCAGUGUGAGUAACAACAAUAUGAGAAUAACAUCAGCAAUAUGAGAAUAGCAGCAGCAACAGAACCAAUGUAGACAAACAAAUAGAACCCAAUAGUGUAAAGUAAUCAACCCAGGUUACUCAAUCUUGGCUUUUAGCCGAUUGAGUGUUCAAAGAAGAGAAUGAGAGAGUAUAGUAAUAGCAGAGAAAAAGAGAAUUCAGAGAGUUUUAGAUUGUGAGAGAAGUGUGUGUUGGUUGUCUUCAAAGAGAAAAGGGGGGAAUAUUUAUAGUAUUGAAAACGAGUAAACAAAUAAAGAGAAUUCAAAGAGUUUGAGAUUGUGAGAGCCGUGUGUGUUGGUUGUGUUCAAAGAGAGAGGUGAUGAGUAUUUAUUGCACUGAAAGCGAGUAAACAAAUAAGGUAUCAAUCCAUAUUUAAGGAACUGAGCAUCAAUCAUAAUCAAAUUAGUAUAGGGACUCCCCUUUAAUUAAGGAAUCAUAGUCAAAUGGUAAUAAGCAGUCAUUUUUAAAAGGAAAGCAAUCACAAAGUAUGGCAUGGUCACAUAAGGAAGUCCCCUUUAAUUAAUAAAUCACAAAGUAUGACAUGGUCACAUAAGGAAACAAAAAUAGUAUAAGGUAUACAAUGAAGACUAGAUGCAUGAUACUUAACCAGAGAAACAUGUCAAACAAAUAAAUCAACAUACUUGUGCACACAUAUAAGGAAAAAUACCACUUUAAUUUUGGAAAAUAAUUUCGAAUUAAUGAAUGAGAUUGAAAACCUUGGAGAUCAGUUAUUAAUUGAGGAAUGUAUCCCACUGAUUGAGGAAGAAAAUUCGAAACCAAUACCAAAUUGUAAGGAGAAUAAAUCAUAAUUUUAAAACCAGUAAUCACAGUCUUAAAGAGAGAUUUUAAAAAUCAGUAUAAAAUCACCAUAUAAACAGCCAGAAACCAUAAGAGAAGAACACAACACACUAGCAACAAGAGUCAAAGUAAAGAGCACGGAACUCAAAGAAGAACCCAGAAGAACAUGCAAACAGGAAAAUUCAUAUUACAAACAUGUCGGGUUAUGGUUUUCGUUAGAUUUUGACAAAAACUUUAGAAGUAGUACUAAGAGUUACGGACAAGUACUCGAAAAUCAGAAAAGUAAAGUUUUUUCGAAAGGGGUUAAGAAACCCUAGAAAUAGAAAUUAAAGUAUGGAACCCUGGUUAACAAGGAAAACAGACAAACCAGUGAAACAACAAACACAAAUGAAUAUAAAAUACUCAGAAAGAGUAGAAGAAACGAUUUUGAAGAAGGGGUCAGAAACCUUUAUUUGAAAGAGUGGUAAUCAUCCGAAAAAUUUGGAAUAACUGGAAAUGCUAAGUAAAAAUAAGGUAGAAAAAAAAAAAUCAAACUAAGCAUUAUUUAAAAAGAGCAGAGAUUAAAGAAGAAAAAUUAGGGGUUUUCAAACAAAUUAGGGAAAACAAAGAACCUGGCUGUGAAACUCAUAUACAAUGCCAUAUGAAGCAUCAUCGUACAAAGACCACCGGAGAAAAGCCGGAAAACAGACCCAACUGAAGCUUCAGUGUCCGUCUUUCAUGGCGGAAGCUGCUGGGCUUCAAGCUUUAGAGAGAAAACAGCGAUACAAGGACUCCAUGGUUGUUGGAGGUCGAGAGAAGUGAGGGAGGAGUGAGCCAGAGAGGCGAUGGUCAUCAUCAGAGAAGAAGGAGAGAACCAGAAGGUUCUAGAGAGCAAAUGUUUAGAGAGAGAGAGAGACUGAUCUGUGAAGAAUGAGGGUUUGGGGGGGGGGGGUCAUUUGAUAUUCAUUAUGGUAAUGAGAUCUAGGCCGUUGAUCUUACUUGAUCAACAACUCAGAUUAGAUCCGAGGCGGGCCGGGCAAAUUAAUGGGUGUGGGUUAUUGAAUUGGGUCAAAAAAUUGGGCUGAAAUUGGAGUUGAUUUUUGUCUAUGUUUUAAAUAAAUCUGGCUAUAGUUUAAAUAGCCAAAUUUUCCCCAAAUGAUUUUAUAAAAUAGCUAAAAUUACUUAAAAAAGCAAAAAUAAAAUAUGAAACUAUUUAAUAACAUAUAAAUAUUAAAAUAAAAAAUAACAGAAAUGAUUUUAUAACUAUGAAACACAGUUAAUUACGAAAUUGGCUAUAAUUGCAAUUUUGUGUAAUUAGUUUUAAAAAUCCCAAAGAAAUUUGUAAAAUAUGUGAAAAAAUUUAAUAAAUUAUAUUUUGUUGUAAAUAUGGGAGUGAAGCAUAUAAUUAACUAAAAAUUAAUAAUUUAGAAAAUAAUUUUGGCCUUCGAGCUGUCGAAAUAAGCAAUAAAUUGAUUUUAAAAAAUCUCAAAAAUUUAAUAAAAAAUACCAAAGGACCUCAGCCUACUUAUAUAUGCAUACAUAUGCUAUUUUGAAAGUAUUUUGAGUGCAAAAAUAUAUAGGAAAAAAUUGGUAUCAACAGCUGCCCCUCUUUCCCCGAGGAGGAUGAAAGAGUUAUCAGGUAAAGAUAAGAUGGCCAAUUUUGAUCGGAAUUGGCGAUUGUAAAAGAAUUUCGACCGUGCUCUGGAUUUUGAGCUGCCUACAUAUCCGUGGUUUUACAGGAAUCAGACCGUAUGUAGUUCAGGAGCCAUUGGCGGAAUAUGCCAAUGAAAAUUUUGGAAGAGGCGGACGCAACAGGGUUUGAAAUUUGUCAAGGGUUCGGAGAUCGGAUGGUUACUCGCUCCCAUGAGACGACCAUGCCUGCGGGUUUACCUGCAAAUGAACGGUGUGCGGAUAUUUUGCAUAAUCUAAACGUGAUGCAAGUUCCCUUUGAACCAUAAAUGCUGUCUUCAGACGAUUAAGAUGGCGUCCUCAGACUAUGACGUCUUGGGUUAUGAAGAGCAUAGAAGUAAAGAUUUGUAGGCCAUAAAAUGGUGUUCUCGGGCUAUGCAGAUGGUGCCUCUGAACUAUGACGCCUUUGAAUAAGUUGGCGAUAUUUCAGCCCAUGAAAAGGUGGCAAUAUUUCAGUUGGAUGAAUGCAAGGGUGGCGAUGUUUCAGCCAAAGCGAGAAUUUAAAAUGUAGGGUGGCAAUAUUUCAGCCAGAUGAAACAUGGUGGUGAUUUUUCAGCCAAAAUACAAAAUAAAGGAGGUAGAGCUUAAACACGAAAGGCAGAGAAUAGUCUUAUGCAAUGCGGGAGGGAGACAAAGCUUAGUCUCGAAAGGCAGAAGAUAGCCUUAGGCAAGAUGGAGGUAGAGCUUAACCUCGGAAGGCAGAGGAUAGCCUUAUGCAAUGUAAAAAUGCAGGAUGGAGGCAGAGCUUAGCCUCGUAAGGCAGAGAGUAGCCUCAUGUAGGAUGGAGGCAGAGCUUAGCCUCGGAAGGUACAGAGUAGGCUUAUGCAAUGCAACAAUGCAGAUGGAGAUAGGGCUUAGUUUCGAAAGGCAGAAGAAAGCCUUAUGCAAUGCGAAAAUGAAGGAUGGAGGCAGAGCUUAGCCUCGGAAGGGAGAGAGUAGCCUUAUGCAGGAAGGAGGUAGAGCUUAGCAUCAGAAGGUAGAGAGUAGCCUUAUGCAAUGCAAUAGUACAGAUGGAGACAAGGCUUAGUAUCCAAAGGCAGAAUAUAGACUUAUGCAAUGCGACAAUGCAGGAUGGAGGCAGGGCUUAGCCUCGGAAGGCAUAGAGUAGCCUUAUGAACGAUGGAGGCAGAGCUUAGCCUCGGAAGGCAGAGAGUAGUCUUAUGCAAUGCAACAAUGCAGAUGGAGAUAGGGCUUAGUCUCGAAGAAUGCAUAAAUAUAAAGGGGAGGAUGGUGGUGAUUUUCUUAGCUGGUAGAGGAUUGCGCUAUCAAUGACUACUAGGGAAGCGUUGAAUGUAGAUAGUGCGCUUUUGCAAGGUAAGUAGUGGUUUGGGAACUUCGAUUUUGUAAAGCUCCUGCAUUGCUUAUUUGUAUCCUGGAUUCCUGCAUCCAAAGAAAGAUCGUGAGUUCUAUAAUGGGAGGUUAGUUCGCAUCCCUCGACUCGUGGCGUCUUGUCCAUUUGGGGUAGCGUUGCUAAACGAUAUUGAUCCAAAUGAUUUUAAGCAAAAUUUGACAAAUAUGAUGCAAAUGUAUAUAGAUCCGGAAUUUUGAGGGUCCUCCUCAAAAUUCUGCCCCAGUUUAUUGAGAUGGCGUUGUUGACGGCGGUGCUGAAUGACUGAAAGUGGAUUGACCUUAGAAUUUUGAGGGUCCUCCUCAAAAUUCUGCCCUAGUUUACUGGUUCGUGCUGAUACGAAAAAUUGACAAGCCGACUUCGAAAUUUUGAGGGUCCUCCUCAAAAUUCUGCCCCAGUUCCGAAUGCGGGGGAAAAUGGAAUUUUAUUAGAGAUGUGACCGAACCCAUAGGGCUGCCUAUAUAUCCCCUCUUAAACAGGCAUCAGGUCAGGAGUAGUUCAAAUUACACCAUAAAGAAAAGCAUACUAAUUUAAUGUAAUAUCUCUUCACUGCAUCUGAGUUUAUCGGUUUUGGCCAGAUUUCUCCAUCCAUUUCUGCAAGAAUAAGGGCUCCUCCAGUUAGAACCUGGUGAACCAUGUACGGACCCUUCUAGUUGGGAGAGAACCUCCCGUUGGCUUCAUCUUGAUGUGGAAAUAUCUUCUUCAACACCAGCUCCCCUGGUAUGAACUUCCUUGGUCGAACUUCUUUGUUGAAGGCUCUGGACAUUCUGUUCUGAUAUAACUAACCGUGACAGACAACGUUCAUUAGGCUAACUGCUUGUAGCGAACCUUGACCCACUCUGUGUCCUCUAGCUCAGCUUCUUGUAUGAUUCUCAAGGAUGGAAUUUCUACCUUGGCGGGAAUUACCACUUCUGUACCAUAAACCAGCAUGUAGGGAGUUGUCCCGGUUGAUCUGCGAACUAUAGUACGAUAACCCAAUAAAGCGAAUGGCAACUUCUCAUGCCACUUCUUAUGCCUUUCGAUCAUAUUCCUUAGUAUUUUCUUGAUGUUCUUGUUUGCUGCUUCCACAGCUCCAUUCAUUUGAGGUCUAUAAGCUGUAGAAUUCCUGUGCCUGAUCUUGAAAGUUUCACACAUCGCUUUCAUCAAGUCGACAUUGAGAUUGGAACCGUUACCAGUGAUGACUGACUCUGGAAUACUGAACCGAGAGACAACACGAUCUCGGACAAAGUCAGCUACAACUUUCUUGGUUACUGCUUUGUAUGAUGCUGCUUCGGCUCAUUUAGUAAAUUAGUCAAUUGCCACUAGAAUGAACAUGUGUCCAUUUGAUGCAGCAGGCUCGAUUGGUCCAAUGACAUCCAUUCCCCAAGUGGCGAACGGCCAUGGUGAGCUUUUUGCCAUUAUCUCAUUUGGAGGUACCUUUAUCAUGUCCGCAUGUAUCUAACAGCGGUGACACUUCCGGACAUACUGAAUGCAAUCUGUUUCCAUAGUCAUCCAAAAAUAUCCUGCCCUGAGUAUCUUCUUUGCUAGAACAAAGCCGUUCAUGUGCGGUCCACAAGUCCCUGAGUGCACUUUUUCCAGUAACUUGGUUACUUCUGUCGCGUCGACACACCUUAAUAGUCCCAAAUCGGGAGUCCUCCUAUACAAGAUUCCUUCACUGUGAAAGAAAUUGUUGGACAACCUUCGAAGCGUGUGCUUCUGAGUAACAUUAGCAAGCUCUGGAUAUUCCCCUAUUUUUAUGUACUCAUUGAUGUCGUGGAACUAGGGUUUUUCGUCGGCUUUUUCCUCAACAUGCCGGUUGGUCAUGAAUCUUGACCUGGAUAGGGUCGAUGAAAUUUGUAUCCGGAUGCUGAAUCAUGGAUGAUAAAAUGGCAAGCGCAUCUGCGAACUCAUUCUGUAUUCUUGGAACAUGCUGGAAUUCCAUUUUUCUGAACCUCUUUCUCAACUCAUGUAUGGGAUGCAAAUAGGGGAGUAUCUUGGAAUUCUUGGUUUCCAAUUCCUCUCGAACCUGGUGUAUGAGUAUGCUGAAUCCCCAAUCACUAGCAGCUCCUGAAUGUUCAUAUCAAUGGCCAGUUUAAGCCCUAAGAUGCAAGCUUCAUACUCGGCCAUGUUAUUGGUGCACAGGAACCUGAGCUUGGCGGAUACCGGGUAAUGUUGAUCGGUAUCUGAUAGCAGGACUGCUCCGAUACCAACUCCUUUGAAAUUUGCGGCUCCGUCAAAAAACAUCCUCCAACCGUCAUAGGAUUCUACAAUAUCUUCUUCUAUGAAAGCUACUUCCUCAUAGGAGAAAUACGUCUUCAAUGGUUCGUACUCCCCUUCCACAGGAUUUUCUGCGAGAUGAUCUGCCAAAGUCGAUGGGCAUGGAUUUCAGAAAAAUAUACUUUAGUGAAUGCAUUCUUGAUAUAAGGUAGGUAGUGUAAGCACAGAAAUAAUGCCUCAACUUUUGAGCUAUCCAAGUCAAAGCACAACAGGUGCGUUCUAUCAAAGAAUAUCGAGCCUCGUACGGGGUAAAUUUCUUGCUAAGGUAGUAAAUAGCUUGCUCCGUUCUCCCCGUCUCAUCAUGUUGUCAUAAGACACAACCAAAUGCUCCGUUCAAAACUGCGAGAUAGAGCAAUAAGGGCCUCCCAGGCUCAGGCAGAACCAAGAUUGGAGGUGUAGACAAGUAUUCCUUGACCCUGCCGAAAGCCUUUUGACAUUCAUCGGUCCAUUUGGUGGCGGCAUCCUUUUUCAGCAUCUUGAAGACGGAACCAAGGCUGGAGGCGUAGAUAAGUAUACCUUGAUCCUAUCGAAAGCCUUUUCAUAUUCAUCGGUCAAUUUGAUGGCGGCAUCCUCCUUCAGCAUCUUGAAGAUAGGUUCGUAGAUGACGGUAGACUGAGAAAUGAACCGACUGAUAUAGUUAAGUCUCCCCAAGAAACUAAUUACCUCUUUCUUUCUCUUCGGCGGUGGCAACUCCUGAAUAAAUUUGACCAUUGAUGGAUCCAGCUCUAUUCCUCGGCAACUUACGAUGAAACCCAAUAACUUUACCGUAGGGACCCCAAAUGCACACUUGGCGGGAUUUAGUUUCAAGUUAGACCUCCUUAGUUUGUUGAAAAACAUUCGGAGGUCCUCCAUGUGAUCUGCAGCCUUCCUGGACUUAAUGAUGACGUCGUCCGCAUAUACCUCAAUCUCCUUAUGUAUCAUGUCAUGAAAGAAGGUAGUCAUGGCCCUCAUGUAAGUAGCUCCCGCAUUCUUUAACUCGAACAACAACAUUCUGUAGCAAUACAUUCCCAGGGCGUGAUAAACUCUGUUUUAUCUACUUCUUCCUUAUCCAUCCAUAUCUGAUGGUACCCCGCAAAGCAACCGACGAACGACUUUAACUCAUGCUUGGCGCAGUUGUCGAUCAGAAUGUGUACGUUUGGCAAUGGGACAUCGUCUUUGGGACUGGCCCGGUUGAGAUCCCGAUAGUCGACACAUACUCUAACUUUCCCAUCCUUCUUCAGUACUGGCACGACGUUAGAUAACCAGGUUGGAUACUCUACCACUUGAAGAACUCUGGCUUUGACCUGCUUGGUGACCUCCUCUUUGAUUUUUAAACUCGUAUCUAGCUUGAAUUUUCUGAGAUUCUGCUUUACCGGCGGACAUAAAGGAUCUGUCGGCAACUUGUGAGCAACGAUGGAUGUGCUGAGGCCAGUCAUAUCGUCGUAAGACCAGCAAAGAUAUCCUCAUAUUCCCUUAAGAACCCUGUAUAUUCCUCUUUCUCUAUUUGUGGUAAGUGCAGAAUGCGCGUUUCUUUGACAUUCUCUGUAUCUCCCAAAUUGACGACUUCAGUUUCAUCCAAGUUGGACUUAGGUCUAUUCUCAAAAUUCUUGUCCUCUCUGACAACCUCUUCUGGUAUAUCCUCCUCCUAUGAGUUUAUGUCCGUUUAGCAUAGCCUCGUUGCAAGUUACAGUUAUUCGUUCAUCAUCAAGAUACGUAAUAGUAAUGCUAUGUGAAAAUAAAGUAAAUAGUAGAGAAAAGUAUUGAAUAGCGAGAUAUUUGAUAAACUGAAAAUGCUUUUGAUUAAAUUCAUAAAUGUUCAAAAUAUUGGACGCUUUUGGAAAGUAAAGAAAAAUGCGGAAAAUAAAGAAAACAACUAAACAAAGAUGCAUGGUGCUUGUUCAGCCUUGCUACCCCGCAGGUUUCUGGGCGAUGUCGGUCCUAAUUGACCAUUUGGUAAGGUGCUCCCCUCGGUUCACAGCCUGAAUUGAAGGGCCUUCCUCCCCUUCCUCUUCAAAGAUCACACAACAGUCAAUGUCCUCCAGAAAUAGGUUUUUCAUUGCCGCAAGAGCCUCGUCUUCUUCUGACCCGUAGUGAGUGUCGGCUGGUUAAAAUGUCUGCUCCAAUUGAGGUAUGGGGCGUCCCAAUGGGUGAUAUAGUCCACGCCAUGGUGGUGACCAGUUUUUGAAUUCUUGCCAAGUGUGCUCGUACCCCAGUCCGAAGGUAGUACCAUGUUUCUUCAGCUGAAUAGGUUUGGUGAUACAUUGAAGAUUCUUACCAAGCCCUUUCCUUGGUUCGUACCCACUCCAAUUUAGAAUGCUCUCGACCUUGUUGCUCCACCAUUUGUCCUUGUCCACUGUGUUGACUGGCUCAAUAUGAUGAUAUGUUUCUCCACCUAUUCUUCUUCUACCUCCGAUCAUUGGAAUGGUCUGGCGAUUGUACAUGGGGUUGCUACCGUCGCCAUGGAUGAUUACUUCCUGAUGGUUCCAUUCGAACUUCACAGCCUGAUGUAAGGUUGAUGCCAGAGCCCCAGCGGUGUGGACCCAGGGUCGUCCCAGUAGUAAGUUGUAAGAUGCUGGUAUGUCGAUGAAUUGGAAAUCAACAUCAAACCAAGUGGGCCCCAUUUGCAAACACAUGCUAAUCUUCUCGAGAGUGGACCUCUGAGAACCAUCAAAAGCCUUAGCAUUAAUAGCACCGUCUUUUAUCUCGUGCAAUCCUUUGGCUAACUUCUUGAGGGUGAUCAAUGGAUAGAUGUGGAGACUGGAACCUCCAUCGACUAAAAUUCUGGUGAUGAAAUGAUCCUCACAUUGCACAGUGAUGUGCAUUUCUUUGUUAUGACUGAGCCCUUCAUGUGGCAAUUCAUCCUCAUAGAAAGUGAUUUUGUGACCUUCCAAUACCUGCCCUAUCAUGUUUGCCAUUUCGCCUCCUGUUAUGUUGCUCGGGACAUAGUGCAUUGUUAUGAUUGAGCCCUUCAGCUGGCAAUUCAUCCUUGUGAAAAGUGAUUUUGUGACUUUCCAAUACCUGCCCUAUCAUGUUUGCCUCUUCUCCUCCUGCUAUGUUUCUCGGGACAUAAGCCUCGCUCAAUAUCUUCAUCAAGGCGUUCUUAUGCGUCAGAACUCUGCAGUAAUGCUAAGAUGGAAAUCUGUGCCGGAAUCUUGUUUAUCUAUUCAACAACUGAAUAUUCCUUCACAUGUAUCUUUCUCCAGAGAUCAUCAGGUCCAGUUUCAAUGGGACAUCCAGAGGCCUGCUUGCUGGACUCAUCUAGGUGCUCUGGUGUAUACCAUGCCUGUUCUAGUCAUACCUUGUGCGGCGAUUGCUUCACCUAUGCGUGAUUUUCCUUUCCUUCUUGCCUCGGCUGUGUAGUCCCAGGGUAUGGAAUUUGACUGAAAUGGGGUUAUGUCUGACAUGGUGACUGGAAUGGGCACCCGUGGAGGCAAUAUGGCAACUUCAAUUGGUGCGAGUGUCUUUGGAGUUCCGAACUCCACCUCAAUUGGUUUUGGCACUUUUGUAGGAGGUUCCUCAAACUCAAGUGGUAUAGAUAUAUUCACCACGUUGUCCUUAGAUGGCUGGAUUUGCACAACAAUAGGAUUAAGAGUGACCGGCGGUUUCUUGGGCUCAUCUCCCUCAGAUAUCAAACCAAUCGACCCUUCGGGGUCCCAGUCAUCUUCUACCUCAAUCAUGUGGAUGCCUCCACCUUUACGGUCUAGCAUAGGGUUGUUACGAACAUUAGGAGCAGUCUCCUUAGCUAUGAUGACCUUGUCGUCAAUUAAGGUCGGGAUUUUUUCCUUCAACGAGCAGGACUCAUCGAUGGCAUGGCCCUUCAUUCCCGAAUGGUAUGCGCAGGUCUUAUUUGGGUUGAACCAUUAGGAAGGGUUUUCUGGGAUUAUGGCCGGGAUGGGUGUAACAUAUCCAGCGGCUUUGAGCUUCUCAUACAGUUGGUUAAUGGGUUCCAAUAGCAGUGUACUAUCUGGGGGGUUUGCGGUCAAUGUUUGGUCUUGGUCGUGAGAAGUUUAGGCGGGUAGGCGGUGAUGGAUAGUGAGGAGGUUGGGAGUUGUAAGCUUGGUAUACGGGUGCGGUUUGGGAAUAUACUGGCGAGGUGGGCUGAUAUGUUGGUGAUGGAGAUGUUUGGUAGAUGGGAUGUGGAUUUUGAUAGGUAGGUGAAGGUGCUUGGUAAUUUAGAGAGGGUUGGUAUGUGAGUGAAGGUUGGUCCGACCUCCAACGAGUAGCAUACUCGCAAAAUGUUUCAGUGGGCUUCUUCUUCAAAUUCUGGAUAUAGAACACGUCCGGCACGUUCUCAGUGUUGAACAUGAAACGGUCCAUGAAAUCGGAUGCCAUGUUUACCCAACUAGUCCACUUCUUCGCAUCUUGGCUGAUAUACCAAGAUAACGCAUCACCUUUCAAGCUCCUCAUGAACAGUUUCAUGCACAUCUUUUCAUCUCAACCAACUCCCACUAACUUGUCACAAUACAUCUUGAGGUGAACACUGGGAUCACCCGUACCAUCAAACAUUUCGAACUUAGGAGGUUUGUACCCCUCUAGGAGUUCGACAUCAAGCUGAACACAAAGGUCUUCAUAAAUUAGACCCUCUACACCUUUAUUACCUUCCACGCCUUGAACCCUGCUCGUGAGUUUCUUAAGUUCAGCAGCCAAGUAGUAUGGCACAAUAUCCACAAAGAUAGGGGUAUCCUGAUGAUUUGGAGCAUUCUGGUGCUCUGGGAUGAGCGGUGGAACAUUGUUGCGAGCUUGGGUUGUGAUCUUCUGUGGAGGUGCGGGGACUGGUUGUUGACAUCUGCAGCAGCAAGGGAGAUGGACAAGCUUGCCAAACUCCGGACCUGGUCNNNNNNNNNNNNNNNNNNNNNNNNNNNNNNNNNNNNNNNNNNNNNNNNNNNNNNNNNNNNNNNNNNNNNNNNNNNNNNNNNNNNNNNNNNNGGACCUGGUCCAGUUCCUCUCGAAACCUUAGCAAAGUUUGCUCCAAAUGAGCAGCAGUUUCUUUGGUGAUCGGGGUACCCUGAGAAGUUCCUUCAACUUCCUUCCUUCAUUAUCUCCCAUCUUUCCUUUGUUCAUGUUUCUGGGAGGACUCGGAGGAGGAGGAGGAGGAGGACUCUUUGAUCUUGUUGAGUAUGCUGAUGGUGCCAGAAUGCACGAACUAACCUUUGGGGAGGGGCAUAAAAAAUAAAAUAUUAACAAAAAGGUAAAAAGUCAGUGCGGAUUCUGAGAAAGAAAACAUGCAGUAUUUAAACACGUUGUUGCAGGAAUAUAAGUUGUUUCCUAUUUGGGUGCCUCGUUGUGCCCGAGGUGGGCCUAGCGACAAAUAUGAUUUGGAGAAAUCGUUAUACUAAAUGCCUCAUUUUAUUGACAGAAAAUAGAACGAGUCAAAACAGACUGAAAAAAAGAUUGUCGCUAAUGGCUAAGGCCGUAUUACAUCAGGAAAGCAGUAAAAUACUAACUACUUUGUCCCAGAAGGACCUUCCCCAGAUUCGGUAUCUUUUCCUCCCCCGUACAGUUUCAUCAGCUCGUGCAGUCCCAGUAACAAGUAAGCCCGAGCCAAGUGCCCACCUUCGUUACCUUCAGCUUCCUGACAGUCGUUGAUCCUUUUCAAAAACUUGCCUUGCAGCUCCACUAGACCCCGUUCCAAGUAUCCUAAAUGAUUAUUUUCGCGGAUAGCCAUGUCCUUCCCUUCAUUGAUUACCUUCUCUUGAUCCUCUAGCAUUUCCGGAUGUUCACUUUCACACUCUCGCAUCCGCUUGCGCAGCUGAUUAUACUUGAUAUUUGUCGUAGUCUCCUCAUUAAUAACCCUGUGACCAUGGACAAAACCCGUUUUUCCCAAGCCAAUGUGAUCAUUUUCUAGCCACCCCAGAUAAACCGGUGCAUGCCCUGCCUGAUACCUGUUUGGCUCCAUAGAUUCCCUUUCUAAAUUGAGCUUCGACUACCACAUAUGCUGAGCCCGACACCUGUGUGGGCUAUCGUCAUCCUGGAAGUCAGCCCUGUAGUGACUCAUCUUUUCCACCCUUGGUAUAAUUUGCUUUCUUCCUGCUUGCCUCAUGACUCGGAGAGGGACAUAAGGGUAAGCUCGCUCAUCUUUUCUACCCUUGGUAUAAUUUUCUUCCUUCCUGCUUGCCUCAUGACUUAGAGAGUGACAUAAGGGUAAGUUCUUCUUAAGCCGAUGAGUACAAGGAAUGGUGCAUCCCUAGACCGAAUAAAAACUCUCCAGUUGGAAACCACACGUACAUCCAUUGUACCUGCUCUUCUCUCAGAUUCCCUAAUAGUUCCACCCAUCCACUGGCGUNNNNNNNNNNNNNNNNNNNNNNNNNNNNNNNNNNNNNNNNNNNNNNNNNNNNNNNNNNNNNNNNNNNNNNNNNNNNNNNNNNNNNNNNNNNNNNNNNNNNNNNNNNNNNNNNNNNNNNNNNNNNNNNNNNNNNNNNNNNNNNNNNNNNNNNNNNNNNNNNNNNNNNNNNNNNNNNNNNGAUUCUCUUUGGAUGAUGGAAAGCAAUAUGGUCAUCCCAAUCUCGUCGUAUGAUCUCCUGUCUAUAAUCUCCUUUCUGAAGAUGCUCAAUGCGCCAGAGUUGUAGUAGGAAAUUGCACCCUUCAAAGUGCGGUGCCUCUUGUUGACAUUUUUCUAUGACUCGGUACAGUUCAGCGACGAUCAUGGGUGCUAUGCUGAAUGUCUGCCUGUCGAUACCCUCCAUUACGGCUUUGGUUACCAUGGCUACUCUUGUGUGGAUUCUAGCCUUCUUCAUUGGAAAGACUAUCAUGCCCGGAAAACGGAACAUGAAUACAUAGGCUAUCCUAUGUAUGUUCCCAAAAGAGAUGAGGGCAAACUCGUCCAUGUGAGUGCUGUAAGACAUGCUACUGUCCGAACCUUUUAUACAUGAAGUCGAAGGAUAUGAGAACUCGUCCAUUUGAGUGCGGUAUGACUUUCUAUGUCCGAACCUUUCAUAAAUAAAGUCGAAGGAUAUGUAGGAGUCCUUCAGACUAGUCAGAAUAGAAUUCUUCUUGAGUCCCAUCAUUUUCAAGAGCCCUCUACCUUUGCGGUUUUCCGUCAUAAGCAACCCCGGGCUAUUCCAAGGAAUUCCGGCUAGACCCCCAAUUUCUUCCAAUAGCAGCGUCAUUUCAAUACCCCCAAAGCGAAAGACGGACCGAUCACUAUCCCAAAACAUAGUAGCAGUUUCCAUAAUCUUGUUAUCUAGCCUAACUUCCAGGAUUGAAGGAAGAUUUCCUAAGUUCUUCGGACCUUUCACUAUCCCAAAACAUAGUAGCAGCUUCCACAAUCUUGUUAUCUGGCUUAACUUCCAGGAGUGAAGGAAGAUUUCCUAAGUGCUUGCGGACAAGAACCCGACUACUACCAUGCAAAUCAUCCCACCGGCUUAGCAACUUUGGAUGAAUGUUUGACACUAUGCCGAAUCUGGGGACCUCGUGCCUCAUUUUCCUGCAAAAUAGAGAAAUAGACCCUUAACCCCAACAUACUCGACUAUUUAAAUCAAUAAUUAGCAAAAGGUUCAAUGCACAAAACGUGAAUGUCCAUUUGGGUUUCGAGGAAACCCGAUGGACUUUUUGUUUAGGCUGUCCUAAUGAGUCAUUAUGUGGACAACAUAACUGACUCGUCUAAGUUUGACCAUGAUGCAUGAACAUUUAAACAGAGUAAGGCCAAUAAAAUAAGUACAUGUAUUUUCACGUUCAUACAAUAAUUAUUACAAUAAAUGCUCGGAAUUUAAGACGGAAUUGAAGUAAAGUGAGGUAAUAAAGCAGUAAAACAGUUAAAGAAAAAGAAAGAUCCGAAGAAACAAGUUAGUAAUUGUGGAGAAAUGAUUAAAGAAACAAAGGUAAUAAAGAAAACAAUAAAGCCACGAAACACGUAAUGGUAAAAGCCUAAGAUCCCCAGCAGAUUCGCCAUGCUGUCGACGCCCCCUUUUGUCCUUAAAAGAAAGUGAAAUCGGGGUUUACGAUAUUAUGGGCAAAACAACUCUAUUUCCCUAUUGGGAAUUGGGUUAUGGAAUUGGAAGAGUCGCCACCUAAUGAUUAUAGUGCAUUAGGACACUNNNNNNNNNNNNNNNNNNNNNNNNNNNNNNNNNNNNNNNNNNNNNNNNNNNNNNNNNNNNNNNNNNNNNNNNNNNNNNNNNNNNNNNNNNNNNNNNNCGGGUAAGGGCUUGAGAUUAUCUCGAGGGGAAGGUGUUAGGCACCCCUCAAGAUCCACUAGUGUGGUUCCCGGCCGUGUUAAUCGUGACUUUAUAAAAAAUGAAACAAUUUAAAUAAGUAAGUUUCACACAUAUAACAUUCGCGCAACUUGAAAAGCUUUAAGGAAUAAAGAGGGACGUAAAUUUAAAUUAAAAGAGAGUUGAUUUGGAAAAGCAUUACAAUAUUUAGAUAAAGAAAACAAAAGAGAGAAGGGUCCUAGGUUUAACUAUUAUAUGGAUCAUUCGAUGCAAUAUCCGGCAUAUAUCCCCCAAAAGGGGUCGCUUUAUGAUAUUAUCGCAUCGUCAUCAUCUCCAUAUUCUACCCUUCCCACCCCUUAGAGGUUAUUUAAGUGUUUGAAUCAGUCACGAAUGUUUAUUGCGUGCUAUUACCCGUCCCAUCCUAAGAUCCUAGAGGGCAUUUAGGAUCGCUAUUCCUAUGAGGUAGGAACUAGGUGGAACCCUUAAGUUUAAAGGUUAAAAGUACUAAGCGACAUACAAAACAAGUAGGACUUGCAUAUAAAGGAAUUAUAUACGACAUAUAAAAGGCUCAAAUAACCCUCCAUAAAAGAACACGUAAUUAUCACGUCUAAAACACAUGUACAAUCUAGGGAAGAUAGAGUUUUACAAAACUGGAGUAUAAAUUAAAACAGCAGUGGGAGACUUUGCAGAAAAAGAAUGUAGGAGAGAAACGUUCCUUAAAAGAGGCAAUAUAAGUUUUUGGAAAUCUGCAGAAGUCAUUUAGAAACAAUUAGAAUGCCUAGUAAAAUAGUUUUUGUUAGGCGUAGUAAAGGAACAAACGUGAAAGCAUUUUUUUUUUGAGAUUGCAGAAGCGUAGAGAAAAACGGUAAACGUACAGGCUUUUUGAGAUUUUGAAAACUAGUACCCAGAUAGUUGAAUUAGUGGUCCAAACCUGGACAAGAAAAUACAGUAGAAACCUUUUGCAUAGAUGGUAUCAAAAUGUGUUAGAAGUUUGUAAAAAAAUAGAGAGGGCUUCAGAAAACGAACGAAUUCAGACAGAGGAGAAUUAAUUUGAACACGACUUGAAAGUGAUUGGCCCAUUUUAUUUGUUUAUUUUUUUAUCUAGACUAAGGCUUGCAUAGGCGUUAUUAAAGACGGUGAGCAUGCCAUGGUUUCUAGUUUUAACGAGGAGUUUGUUAAUCAGUCUUACGUCUAUUUAGCAAAAUCAGUGAAGCAUUCAGGCUUGCAUAGGCGUUAUUAAAGACGGUGAGCAUGCCAUGGUUUCUAGUUUUAACGAGGAGUUUGUUAAUCAGUCUUACAUCUAUUUAACAAAAUUAGUGAAGCAUUCAACAGUUUUAAAAGAAAGACCCUAAGCACGUGAUAUCUAAUGCAUAUAGAGGCCCUUAAGCAUGGUAUCUAAAUGCAAGGCAGUAAUUUGAUUAUUACCUAAAAAAAAUAACAAGCUGAAAGUAAAAGACCUAAGAACAUGAUUUCUAUGUGUGAGAUGCAUGUCCUAUACAUGGUUUCUAUUACGCAAAUAGAUAAGUAAAACCCUAUAACAUGUUUCUACCCAUACAUUUAAUAAUCAUGUAUAACCCUCCCCAAUUUGACUAUAAUCCCCAUUAUUCGCUACAAAUUAUUACAACAAAGUAAUAAAAAAUACAACAAUGAUAAAAGAAAAUAAUAAGUUACUCUCUAUAGAGAGCCUUCAGCCAGGCCCAAGCAAUCUCCAACCUCACUCCUUUCGAGUUUCAAAGCCAUUACCAAGGCUUGGGUGCGGCAAAAUUUCCUAAAGGGUUCGUUUGAACCCCUGGCCAAUACCAAGCACCCAAAAUGUUCCAAUUAGACAAUUGCAAGCAUGGAAGUGUCAGCCUUGUGCAUCAGAGUUCCAUAGGUGCUCAAGGCACCCAAGGCAGUGCUUACACUAAGGGGACAUACCCUAAAGCUCUAAGAAUGAGAUUGUGCUUGGAAUUGAGAGAGUUGAAAAUAUUUGAGAGACAGUCUAAGAAAACAGUUGAAAGAGUUGAGAGAGUUAAGAAGAGGUUGAAAAGUUGAGACAGUUUAAGAAAAAAAUAGUUGAAAAAGUUGAGACAGUUCUUUCGAAAUCAUUUGGACUGACCAAUUUUAGAACAUCAGGGCAUCACACAAACAGGGGGAAAAGGGAAAAGGGGAC
rnacentral:lncRNA from 1 species